rnacentral:rRNA from 1 species
GUGCCAGCCGCCGCGGUAAUACGGAGGAUGCGAGCGUUAUCCGGAUUUAUUGGGUUUAAAGGGUGCGUAGGCUGUGUGUCAAGUCAGUGGUGAAAGGCCGGGGCUUAACUCCGGGACUGCCAUUGAUACUGUCACGCUGGAAUACGGAUGCCGUGGGAGGAAUGAGUAGUGUAGCGGUGAAAUGCAUAGAUAUUACUCAGAACACCGAUUGCGAAGGCAUCUCACGAAUCCGUUAUUGACGCUGAGGCACGAAAGCGUGGGGAUCAAACAGGAUUAGAUACCCUGGUAGUCCACGCUGUAAACGAUGAUAACUAACCCGUCGGCGAUAUAGUGUCGGUGGCCAAGCGAAAGCGAUAAGUUAUCCACCUGGGGAGUACGUCGGCAACGAUGAAACUCAAAGGAAUUGACGGGGGCCCGCACAAGCGGAGGAACAUGUGGUUUAAUUCGAUGAUACGCGAGGAACCUUACCCGGGCUCGAACGGCAAGUGAACGAUACAGAGAUGUAAAGGCCCUUCGGGGCGCUUGUCGAGGUGCUGCAUGGUUGUCGUCAGCUCGUGCCGUGAGGUGUCGGCUCAAGUGCCAUAACGAGCGCAACCCUUGUGACUAGUUACCAGCAAUUCGGAUGGGGACUCUAGUCAGACUGCCACCGCAAGGUGAGAGGAAGGGGGGGAUGACGUCAAAUCAGCACGGCCCUUACGUCCGGGGCGACACACGUGUUACAAUGGCGGCUACAGAGAGUAGCGACCUGGCGACAGGUAGCCAAUCUUGAAAAGCCGUCUCAGUUCGGAUUGGAGUCUGCAGCUCGACUCCAUGAAGCUGGAUUCGCUAGUAAUCGCGCAUCAGCCAUGGCGCGGUGAAUACGUUCCCGGGCCUUGUACACACCGCCCGU